AGCAAUGUUGCCCUGCAAGGAAACCAGCAGCAGCACAGGUUGUCAGUCUGGAAGAUGUUGGAAGAUGUUGCUUGACCCCCUGGCAUCCCACCCAGGACUGAAACCCAGGGAUGUUGGCAUUACCAGGAAGGGAGGCAGUCAGUAACAUCUGUGAAGCCAUCUUCGAAGGUCUGACAUUUUCCCAAAGAAGGCUACAUGAUAUGAAAACAAUGUACUUUAUUCUGUUGGGUAAUUGAACUAAUCAAUCCAAAUAACUGAGGGUUUAUCCCAAACUGAAGUUGAAUCUAAAUUAUGACAGUUACUGCUGCCCACAGCUUGCUUUUGUACUUUGAACCAUUUCUGCUGCCUUUGCUCCCCUCCCAAGUAGAGGCUUUCUCUGUGAGCACUGCAGACCUGCACUCUUAUCUCUGGUUAGUCAGCUGAGCCUUGCUCCCAUCUUUCUGCACCUGGUGACAUCCAGUAUUUUGUCUGGAUUAAUCACUGGAUGUAAGUUACAGUCUUCUGCAUCCUAACAUUAGCACUGAGCUCUGACAGAGGGGAAAAAAACCCUCUGUUCUGAUUCUUAAAUUGUCUGUCCAAAGUUGAAGAAUGUGUUGCAGCUGA
rnacentral:lncRNA from 1 species